UUAAUUCUAUCUAUAUAAUUCUCCGUUCUUUUAUUUGUUUAUUUAAAACUUUAAGUCAAUGGAAAGCUCUAUCUAGCAAUGCUGCCUCCUGUUUUCCUAUUACUGAAAAUUCUGUAUGCUUCCCUGUGCUUAAAAACUUAUUUUACAUGGUGCUACUCGUUCUCUGAUGAAUGUCCUGCUGAUGCUUUUUACCAGUCAAACUGAACAGUUUGAAUGAUUAUCAGAGAAAAAUAGAUUUCAUCAUGAGUUGAAAAUCUAUAAUAUGAAGUCUGAAGAACAUCCAAGAAUUAAGUAGUGAGGUGGGUGAGAGAAUUUGGUGUCUUUAUAUCUUUCAUAUCUGUUUUGGAGCAGGAAGAUCCACUAUAACAUGAUUGUGCUGGCUCAUUUGCUGCAAUUGGUAGAAAUGGACUUUUCCUAGUCGAUUAAUGUAGUUAGUGUGUAAAUAUACAUCAAGUAUUGAGAUUAUGUAUUAUGUUGCCUAAUUUUCUUGUGCAUUACGUAUGAGUUAACAUUCUUGAAAUGCUAUUCCAUCUCUUGUUGUCUUGUGUAGAGGAAUUAAAAGAGGAAUAGCUUAGAGCAUAUUAAAGCUGAUUUCUUCAUUUUAUUUAAGCUGCAUUGGUUGUUUGCUUUUAACACGGAUUUGUGUGGAAAUUUUAUUUUAUUACUAUAUCAAAGAUUAACACUGUACAGUGGCAAUCAAACAGUAUCUGUAGAAAGCUUGAGUUGAGGAAAAGAUACGGUUUACAGAAUCGAGUCACGAUCUAGCGUUUUUCUGGGAAUUUGACCCGAUUUUGAAUAUAGGCAAUUAAGAUUCAAGAUCGAAAUGAUCAAUUCUCAAUUUCUCAUACCUAAAUUUAUGGCAACGAUGAAUAAAGAAGGCCGUAGAGAUACAAAAUACUAUUACACUCAAAUUAAUCAAAUCAAAUAUUCGUACAACUCAUUGCUGCUUGGGCUAUAUGAGGAUAAGCAGAUUGGAAUAUUCUUGAAUGCAAAGAAGGAGCAGUGUUUGCGUUUAUGAGAGUUGGAGUUUGAAUGCUGAAUUAGGCAAAUUAUUCCACACAGAUUAACAAAAUUCACCAUGUUAGGUUAUCGGAAAAUUCACCCUCUCCGCCGCAUCACCGCCGCAGCCCACCCGUUCUCCACCAUGAAAUCCGAAUCCGAACUGCUCCAGUCAUACACUGUCACGCCACCAAUCAAACCCUGGCCACGAAACCUCACCCCCAAACGCCUCUGCUCCAUUAUCACCCAACAGCAAAAUCUCGAUCUCGCCCUUCAGAUCUUCCACUACGCCGGAAAUCACCACCCCAAUUUCCGCCACACUUACGAAACCUACCACUCCAUUAUCCACAAGCUCUCCCGCUUGCGCGCUUUCGACCCCAUACCCUCCCUCUUAAAUGCAUUACGCGCCUCACCAAUCAAAUGCGGCGAAAAUGUAUUCAUCACGCUGAUUCGGUAUUACGGACUUGCCAGCAGACCCAAAGAGGCGAUAAAAAUAUUCCUUCAAGUUAAUGAUUUUGGAGUGAAGAGGUCAGUUCGCUCGUUUAACACUUUAUUAAAUGCUUUGGUUCUGAACAAAAAGUAUGAUACUGUCUACCUUAUGUUCAAGAAUUGCCAGAAAAGGUUCAAAAUCAUGCCCAAUGUGUUCACUUGCAAUAUAUUGUUAAAAGCUCUGUGUAAGAAGGAUGAUGUAGAGGGUGCGCUCAAGGUGUUGGAUGAAAUGCCUGGAAUAGGAAUGGUGCCUAAUGUGGUCAGUUAUACUACUAUUAUGACCGGGUAUGUGGACCGUGGUGAUAUGUUGGGAGCAAAGAGAAUGUUCGAUGAGCUUCUGGAUCGGGGUUGGCUGCCGGAUGCAACCACAUACACAGUUCUGAUGGAUGGGUUUUGUAAACUGGGUCGGUUUGCUGAUGCAACGAAAGUGAUGGAUGAGAUGGUGGAGAAUGGAGUUGAGCCAAAUGAUGUUACAUAUAGUGUUAUGAUUGAGGCAUUGUGCAAAGUGAAGAAGUCGGGGGAAGCAGUCAAUAUGAUUGGUGAUAUGCUUGACAAUAAUUAUGUGCCCAGCUCACAUUUAUGUUGUAAGGUGAUAGAUGCCUUGUGCAGGGAAGGGAAGGCUGAUGAAGCUUGCAGCUUGUGGAAGUUAUUGUUGGUGAAGAACUGUACUCCAGAUAACGUGAUAUUGAGCACACUUAUACAUUGGUUAUGCAAGGAAGGGAAGGUUUGGGAAGCAAGGAAGCUGUUUGAUGAGUUUGAGAGGGGUUCUAUACCUAGCGUUUUGACGUAUAACAUGCUGAUUGCAGGGAUGUGUGACAGAGGGGAGUUGUGCGAGGCUGGAAGGUUGUGGGAUCACAUGGUGGAAUCUGGCUGCCCUCCAAAUUCCUUUACUUAUAACCUACUGAUUAAUGGGUUCUGCAAAAAGGGUUUUGCAAAGGAAGGGAUCAAAAUCUUUGAGGAGAUGUUGGAUAGAGGGUGCUCUCCAAAUGAAUCCACUUACUCCAUCUUAAUUGAAGGGCUGUGCAGCUCUGGUUGCGAAGCAGAUAUAUUGAAUGUCCUUAGUGCUGCUGCCGCUAAUAACGUGGAGGUCAAAUCUGAUUCUUGGAGAAUUUUAGUGAAUAAAUUUGUCCCUAAUCAUGGCAACGUUAGCGCCACUUUGGAAAGCAUUUUAUUGGAUAAUGUGGCUUAAGGUUCCUUGCCCAUUUGAGUUUGGAUGAAUGCUUGGAGGUCAAUGCUCUGGUGCUACACAUGUGUAUAACUUGAAUCUGCAGUAAUGAUCUUUCCCAAAAGCUGCAUUCGUUGUGGCUUGGCUUCUCACUAAUAUUUAAUCUGGUUCCUGUACCGAACAGCUAGAUGCAAACCAGACACAACAGAAGUAAGCUUGCUGAUUGGCGUAGGAUCAGCAGAUUGAAACAUUCUGAAUCAAAUAAAGAGCUUUGUUUCUGGUACAAGCCUGAAGAACUACUGUGAGAGUUGGAGGUUGAAUGUUGAGCUCAACGACAUUAGGGAGUUCGAGGUUGUCCCUCAAGAAUGUGUUGACUACAUAGGAAAAUACAUGGGUUCGAUUUGGUACAAGGCUGAUUGCCAAAGAGCUGUCGAGUAAUGCCGGCUCUAUCUCAGCAGCUUCUGCACUUCGAAAGGUGAUGGCAAGGAUGCAUGGAUCUUUGAUGUUGGCGAUACCUUAAUCCACAACCUUGCUGAUCUGUUUGAACUUCUUUUUUCUAUUGGGACGAUGCAGUGGAAAUAAGCUGAACAUUACAUGAGAUCAAAGCAAAGGGAUUCAAGAUCUUUCUUGUCUCGAGUUGAAGGGAAUCUAUGACAGAUGCCGCAGUUGACAACCUCAUCAAAGAGGGCUACCAUGGCUGAUCUGCCUUAGUGUCAAGGUAUAAUUAACCUAAUCAUAAGCAAUUACCAUGUUAGGCAUAUGUAGCAUCAAUGAUGAUGAUGGUGAAGAAUAGUUUGAAGGGAUCUCAAAGACAAAUAUAAGCAGUUACAAAACUAUAAGGCGGGAGCAAGGAAGAGAUUGGUUGAAGAAGGGCAGGGGAUCAAUGGAGCAGUUUCCAAGGAAACCAGAGCGCCAAGAGAAGUUUCAAACUCCCUAAUUGCUUCUACUACAUAUCUUGAAGCUCGGAUUAAUUUCUAAUGAUGACCAUAUUAUUGCCUAAUGUUCCUUAUAUAAAUCUUUUUGUUAUAGUGUCAUGUGCAACUAUAUAUAUAUUUUGUGUGUAUUCAUGCAUUUUUGUGGAAUAUUCUACAUUUUGGGAUUCAGAAAUAACGAGCCAAUUUCGGCAACUUGUGUUGGAACUUGAAAGAGAGAAUAUAUGUGAGAUUUUGUUCACUUGUAAUAAGAAUCCAAACAGCAAGUUGAUUAAAGGGUUGAAUUUCAAUGAA